AAGAUUCUGAAGGAUGCAACAAUGACUGUUAAAUUGAUGUUGAAUGGCUAUAACUGUAUGGUGUUGAAAGAGCUUAAACUUUGUGUGCCAUUCAGACAGGAAUACAUUUUACUUGACUUUGGAGAUGAAAUACUGAAACAUGAAAACAAGGAAAAGCAACACCCUUGGACAAAAACUCUUCAACUAUGAUCAUAAUUUCAAUUUUCUGCUAUGAACAUGUUUUAGUUCAGCUCCAGAAAAAACCCUCCAGCAACCUGUUAAAGACACUCUACAUUUUCCUAUAUAUGUGCAGCCAAAACAUUGCCUUUUAGCAAACAAACUGGAAAGAUACGAAAGCCUGAAAUGAUUGUAUUCCAAUGUUAACUAUUUUCAGCCACUAUAAAGUCUUG